UACAGAGGGUGCAAGCGUUGUUCGGAAUUAUUGGGCGUAAAGGGCGCGUAGGCGGUUCGGCAAGUCGACUGUGAAAUCUCCGGGCUUAACCCGGAAAGGUCAGCCGAUACUGCGGGCUAGAGUGCAGAAGGGGCAACUGGAAUUCUCGGUGUAGCGGUGAAAUGCGUAGAUAUCGAGAGGAACACCUGCGGCGAAGGCGGGUUGCUGGCUGACACUGACGCUGAUGCGCGAAAGCCAGGGGAGCGAACGGG
rnacentral:rRNA from 1 species